rnacentral:rRNA from 1 species
CCUACGGGGGGCAGCAGUGGGGAAUAUUGCACAAUGGGGGAAACCCUGAUGCAGCGACGCCGCGUGAGUGAAGAAGUAUUUCGGUAUGUAAAGCUCUAUCAGCAGGGAAGAAAAUGACGGUACCUGACUAAGAAGCCCCGGCUAACUACGUGCCAACAGCCGCGGUAAUACGUAGGGGGCAAGCGUUAUCCGGAUUUACUGGGUGUAAAGGGAGCGUAGACGGCAGCGCAAGUCUGAAGUGAAAUCUCAUGGCUUAAACAUGGAACUGCUUUGGAAACUGGGCAGCUUGAGUGCAGGAGAGGUAAGCGGAAUGCCUAGUGUAGCGGUGAAAUGCGUAGAUAUUAGGAGGAACACCAGUGGCGAAGGCGGCUUACUGGACUGUAACUGACGUUGAGGCUCGAAAGCGUGGGGAGCGAACAGGAUUAGAUACCCCGGUAGUC